rnacentral:misc_RNA from 1 species
UUAAGUUCAGCGGGUAUUCCUACCUGAUCCGAGGUCAACCUUGUAAAAUUGGGGGGUUUUACGGCAGGCGCCCGCGCCACUCCGGAGCGAGGUUAGCUACUACGCUCGGUGUGGACAGCGAGCCCGCCACUGGUUUUCGGGGCCUGCGUCGGACGCAGGUCCCCAACACAAGCCCGGGGCUUGAUGGUUGAAAUGACGCU